rnacentral:rRNA from 1 species
CAGCCGCCGCGGUAAUACGAAGGGUGCAAGCGUUACUCGGAAUUACUGGGCGUAAAGCGUGCGUAGGUGGUGGUUUAAGUCCGUUGUGAAAGCCCUGGGCUCAACCUGGGAAUUGCAGUGGAUACUGGGUCACUAGAGUGUGGUAGAGGAUAGUGGAAUUUCCGGUGUAGCAGUGAAAUGCGUAGAGAUCGGAAGGAACAUCUGUGGCGAAGGCGACUAUCUGGGCCAACACUGACACUGAGGCACGAAAGCGUGGGGAGCAAACAGGAUUAGAUACCCCCGUAGUCCCUGUCUCUUAUAU